rnacentral:rRNA from 1 species
GUUAUAGGGUCAAGUGAAUAAGAGCAUGUGGUGGAUGCCUUGGCGAUGAUAGGCGAAGAAGGACGUGAUAGCCUGCGAUAAGCUCCGGUGAGUUGGCAAAUGAACUUUGAUCCGGAGAUUUCCGAAUGGGGAAACCCACCCGAACAGGGUAUUUGCUUUUGAAUACAUAGAAAGCAAAGGCGAACCAAGCGAACUGAAACAUCUAAGUAGCUUGAGGAAAAGACAUCAACCGAGAUUCCGAAAGUAGUGGCGAGCGAAAUUGGAUCAGCCUUCCAGUGAUAGCGCAAUCGUUAGCAAAACGAGGUGGAAAACUCGGCCAUAGCAGGUGAUAGCCCUGUAUGCGAAAGCGAAUGUGUGGUACUAGACUGGUAACAAGUAGGGCGGGACACGUGUAAUCCUGUCUGAAUAUGGGGGGACCAUCCUCCAAGGCUAAAUACUCAUCAUCGACCGAUAGUGAACAAGUACCGUGAGGGAAAGGCGAAAAGAACCCCGGGAGGGGAGUGAAAUAGAUUCUGAAACCGCAUGCUUACAAAAAGUCGGAGCCCUUUUGGGUGACGGCGUACCUUUUGUAUAAUGGGUCAGCGACUUACAUUCAGUGGCGAGGUUAACCGAGUAGGGGAGCCGCAGAGAAAUCGAGUCCGAAUAGGGCGUUUGAGUCGCUGGGUGUAGACCCGAAACCAGGUGAUCUAUCCAUGACCAGGAUGAAGGUGCCGUAACAGGUACUGGAGGUCCGAACCGACUGGUGUUGCAAAACCAGCGGAUGAGUUGUGGAUAGGGGUGAAAGGCUAAACAAACCUGGAAAUAGCUGGUUCUCUCCGAAAACUAUUUAGGUAGUGCCUCACGUAUUGCCUUUGGGGGUAGAGCACUGUUUUGGCUAGGGGGUCAUGGCGACUUACCAAACCAAGGCAAACUCCGAAUACCAAAGAGCAGAGCGUGGGAGACAGUGCACCGGGUGCUAACGUCCGGACACGAGAGGGAAACAACCCAGACCGCCAGCUAAGGUCCCUAAAAUUGGCUAAGUGGGAAACGAAGUGAGAAGGCUAAAACAGUCAGGAUGUUGGCUUAGAAGCAGCCACCAUUUAAAGAAAGCGUAAUAGCUCACUGAUCGAGUCGUCUUGCGCGGAAGAUGUAACGGGGCUCAAGCCAGUUACCGAAGCUGCGGAUGCACAGCAAUGUGUGUGGUAGGAGAGCGUUCUGUAAGUCUGUGAAGGCAGUCUGAGAAGGCUGCUGGAGAUAUCAGAAGUGCGAAUGCUGACAUGAGUAGCGUUAAAGCGGGUGAAAAGCCCGCUCGCCGUAAGCGCAAGGUUUUCUAUGCAACGUUCAUCGGCGUAGAGUAAGUCGGCCCCUAAGGUAAGGCAGAGAUGCGUAGCUGAUGGGAAACAGGUUAAUAUUCCUGUACCGAUGUGCAGUGCGAUGUGGGGACGGAUCUUAAUAGGUUGUCCGGGUUUUGGAUAUCCCGGUUUAGGUGGAAGUAGGUGUGCAUCAGGCAAAUCCGGUGCAUAUGUGCCCAGGCCAUCGAUCGAGCAAGCUUGCUUGCGAAGCAACUGAACGAGGUUCCAGGAAAAGCCACUAAGCUUCAGCUGCACACGACCGUACCGCAAACCGACACUGGUGCGCGAGAUGAGUAUUCUAAGGCGCUUGAGAGAACUCAGGAGAAGGAACUCGGCAAAUUGACACCGUAACUUCGGGAGAAGGUGUGCCCUAGUAGUGUGAUGAGAACAUCUGAGCAUGAAUGGGUUGCAAAAAAUAGGUGGCUGCGACUGUUUAUUAAAAACACAGCACUCUGCAAACACGAAAGUGGACGUAUAGGGUGUGACGCCUGCCCGGUGCUGGAAGAUUAAGUGAUGGGGUGCAAGCUCUUGAUCGAAGUCCCAGUAAACGGCGGCCGUAACUAUAACGGUCCUAAGGUAGCGAAAUUCCUUGUCGGGUAAGUUCCGACCUGCACGAAUGGCGUAACGAUGGCCACACUGUCUCCUCCUGAGACUCAGCGAAGUUGAAAUGUUUGUGAUGAUGCAAUCUCCCCGCGGAUAGACGGAAAGACCCCAUGAACCUUUACUGUAGCUUUGUAUUGGACUUUGAACAGAUCUGUGUAGGAUAGGUGGGAGGCUUUGAAGUGGUGACGCCAGUUGCUACGGAGCCGCUGUUGAAAUACCACCCUGGUGUGUUUGAGGUUCUAACCUGCGUCCUUGAAUCAGGACGGGGAACAGUGCAUGGUAGGCAGUUUGACUGGGGCGGUCUCCUCCCAAAGCGUAACGGAGGAGUUCGAAGGUACGCUAGUUACGGUCGGACAUCGUGACGAUAGUGCAAUGGCGCAAGCGUGCUUAACUGCGAGACUGACAAGUCGAGCAGGUGCGAAAGCAGGACAUAGUGAUCCGGUGGUUCUGUAUGGAAGGGCCAUCGCUCAACGGAUAAAAGGUACUCUGGGGAUAACAGGCUGAUACCGCCCAAGAGUUCAUAUCGACGGCGGUGUUUGGCACCUCGAUGUCGGCUCAUCUCAUCCUGGGGCUGUAGUCGGUCCCAAGGGUAUGGCUGUUCGCCAUUUAAAGAGGUACGUGAGCUGGGUUUAAAACGUCGUGAGACAGUUUGGUCCCUAUCUUCCGUGGGCGUUGCAGAUUUGAGAAAGCCUGCUCCUAGUACGAGAGGACCGGAGUGGACGCACCUCUGGUGUACCUGUUGUCACGCCAGUGGCAUUGCAGGGUAGCUAUGUGCGGAAGAGAUAACCGCUGAAAGCAUCUAAGCGGGAAACUCGUUUCAAGAUGAGAUCUGCCGGGGAUUGAUCCCCCUGAAGAGUCGUUCAAGACCAGGACGUUGAUAGGCUGGGUGUGGAAGUGCAGCAAUGCAUUAAGCUAACCAGUACUAAUUGCUCGUGAGGCUUGACCCUAUAACUUUG